CACAUAGAAAGAAGGUGGCCGCCUGCCUGGAAGGCCAGCGGGGCUGAAAUUGAAGUGAGAAACUAACCAACUGGGGAGACAGGAUAUGGAUGAGGCAACAGGAAGAGGGCUUGGGGUUGACAGAGCGGGACCCUCAGAGGUUCCAGGGAAACAGACGCUAGAGAGGCCACCACAUAGGAUGCCUGCUCCCUCAGCCCUGAAUCGGGCCCCGAGAAGCUGAUUCUGACCAAAUCAGACCGUGCUAAGGCCCUAGUCAUGGAUAUCCGUAUCUCUGCUGGUCCUCCCACUUCAUGCUCUGCAAAAGAUUAAUGGAUUCAGCACCAUGGCACCCAGGGGGAAAGAAAGGAGAAAGCGAAAGAGAAGACUUUCAAGUUGUGGUAGAUCUAA